ACUGCAAGCUGCACUAUCGAUUCCGUUUAAAUCGGGAUAGGAAAGUCCGGACAGCAUAGAGCAACGUAUCCAGCUAACGGCUGGACAUCCUCCUUCAAACGGGGAGCGAGACAGUGCCACAGAAAAUAACCGCUCUGCUUUGGCAGAGUAAGGGUGAAAAUGUGGGGUAAGAGCCCACGGUUGCUAGUGGUAACGCUAGUGGCGGGUAAACCUUGCGUGCUGAAAUGCCAUGUAUAGGAUCGACAGAAGGCGGCUCGUCUUCGUUCCUGUUGAAAAUCAGGACGCGAUCCAGGGUAGGCAGAUACAGGUAGUCAGUAAUGACCAUCGCAGAUAAAUGAUAGUGGUUCCGCUUCUGGCGGGAUACAGAAUCCGGCUUAUAGGCUUGCAGUUAUU
rnacentral:RNase_P_RNA from 2 species